rnacentral:rRNA from 1 species
AUUGAACGCUGGCGGCAGGCUUAACACAUGCAAGUAGAGCGAGCGGCGGACGGGUGAGUAAUGUCUGGGAAACUGCCUGAUGGAGGGGUAUAACUACUGGAAACGGUAGCUAAUACCGCAUACCAUCAGAUGUGCCCAGAUGGGAUUAGCUAGUAGGUGGGGUAAUGGCUCAACUAGGCGACGAUCCCUAGCUGGUCUGAGACGAUGGCCAGACACACGGGAACUGAGACACGGUACAAACUACUACGGUAGGCAGCAGUGGGGAAUAUUGCACAAUGGGAGCAAGCCUGAUGCAGCCAGGCCGCGUGUGUGAAGAAGGCCUGCGGGUUGUAAAGCACUUUCAGCGAGGAGGCGUUACUCUCAGAAGAAGCACCGGCUAACUCCGUGCCAGCAGCCGCGGUAAUUC